AGAGUUUGAUCCUGGCUCAGGAUGAACGCUGGCGGCGUGCCUAACACAUGCAAGUCGAACGAAGCACUUAUCUUUGAUUCUUCGGAUGAAGAGGUUUGUGACUGAGUGGCGGACGGGUGAGUAACGCGUGGGUAACCUGCCUCAUACAGGAGGAUAACAGUUAGAAAUGACUGCUAAUACCGCAUAAGACCACAGAGCCGCAUGGCUCAGUGGGAAAAACUCCGGUGGUAUGAGAUGGACCGGCGUCUGAUUAGGUAGUUGGUGGGGUAACGGCCUACCAAGCCAACGAUCAGUAGCCGACCUGAGAGGGUGACCGGCCACAUUGGGACUGAGACACGGCCCAAACUCCUACGGGAGGCAGCAGUGGGGAAUAUUGCACAAUGGGGGAAACCCUGAUGCAGCGACGCCGCGUGAGCGAAGAAGUAUUUCGGUAUGUAAAGCUCUAUCAGCAGGGAAGAAAAUGACGGUACCUGACUAAGAAGCACCGGCUAAAUACGUGCCAGCAGCCGCGGUAAUACGUAUGGUGCAAGCGUUAUCCGGAUUUACUGGGUGUAAAGGGAGCGUAGACGGCUGUGUAAGUCUGAAGUGAAAGCCCGGGGCUCAACCCCGGGACUGCUUUGGAAACUAUGCAGCUAGAGUGUCGGAGAGGUAAGGGGAAUUCCCAGUGUAGCGGUGAAAUGCGUAGAUAUUAGGAGGAACACCAGUGGCGAAGGCGGCCUGCUGGACGACAACUGACGCUGAGGCGCGAAAGCGUGGGGAACAAACAGGAUUAGAUACCCUGGUAGUCCACGCUGUAAACGAUGAAUACUAGGUGUGGGAGGACUGACCCCUUCCGUGCCGCAGUUAACACAAUAAGUAUUCCACCUGGGGAGUACGAUCGCAAGAUUGAAACUCAAAGGAAUUGACGGGGGCCCGCACAAGCAGUGGAUUAUGUGGUUUAAUUCGACGCAACGCGAAGAACCUUACCGGGAUUUGACAUCCUACUAACGAAGUAGAGAUACAUUAGGUGCCCUUCGGGGAAAGUAGAGACAGGUGGUGCAUGGUUGUCGUCAGCUCGUGUCGUGAGAUGUUGGGUUAAGUCCCGCAACGAGCGCAACCCCUAUUGUUAGUUGCUACGCAAGAGCACUCUAGCGAGACUGCCGUUGACAAAACGGAGGAAGGCGGGGACGACGUCAAAUCAUCAUGCCCCUUAUGUCCCGGGCUACACACGUAAUACAAUGGCGGUCAACAGAGGGAAGCAAAGCCGCGAGGCAGAGCAAACCCCUAAAAGCCGUCUCAGUUCGGAUUGCAGGCUGCAACUCGCCUGCAUGAAGUUGGAAUUGCUAGUAAUCGUGGAUCAGCAUGCCACGGUGAAUACGUUCCCGGGCCUUGCACUCACCGCCCGUCA
rnacentral:rRNA from 1 species